rnacentral:rRNA from 1 species
UACGAAGGGGCUAGCGUUGUUCGGAAUUACUGGGCGUAAAGCGCACGUAGGCGGAUAUUUAAGUCAGGGGUGAAAUCCCAGAGCUCAACUCUGGAACUGCCUUUGAUACUGGGUAUCUUGAGUAUGGAAGAGGUAAGUGGAAUUGCGAGUGUAGAGGUGAAAUUCGUAGAUAUUCGCAGGAACACCAGUGGCGAAGGCGGCUUACUGGUCCAUAACUGACGCUGAGGUGCGAAAGCGUGGGGAGCAAACAGGG